GACGAACGCUGGCGGCGUGCUUAACACAUGCAAGUCGAACGAAGAGCGAUGGAAGCUUGCUUCUGUCAAUCUUAGUGGCGAACGGGUGAGUAACGCGUAAUCAACCUGCCCUUCAGAGGGGGACAACAGUUGGAAACGACUGCUAAUACCGCAUACGAUCCAAUCUCGGCAUCGAGAGUGGAUGAAAGGUGGCCUCUAUUUAUAAGCUAUCACUGAAGGAGGGGAUUGCGUCUGAUUAGCUAGUUGGAGGGGUAACGGCCCACCAAGGCGAUGAUCAGUAGCCGGUCUGAGAGGAUGAACGGCCACAUUGGGACUGAGACACGGCCCAGACUCCUACGGGAGGCAGCAGUGGGGAAUCUUCCGCAAUGGACGAAAGUCUGACGGGAGCAACGCCCGCGUGAGUGAUGACGGCCUUUCGGGGUUGUAAAAGCUUCUG
rnacentral:rRNA from 1 species